rnacentral:rRNA from 1 species
CACGUAGGGCGCAAGCGUUGUCCGGAAUUAUUGGGCGUAAAGAGCUCGUAGGCGGACUGUCACGUCUGCUGUGAAAAGCUGGGGCUUAACCCUGGCCUUGCAGUGGAUACGGGCAGACUAGAGGUAGGUAGGGGAGAAUGGAAUUCCCGGUGUAGCGGUGAAAUGCGCAGAUAUCGUGAGGAAGACCAGUGGCGAAGGCGGAUCUCUGGACAGCUCCUGACGCUGAGGCGCGAAGGCUAGGGGAGCAAACGGG